rnacentral:rRNA from 2 species
AACUGCGAUCUUUCCAGCACUAAUGCAUCGGAUCUCAUCAGAACUCCGCAGUGAAGCGUGCUUGGGUGAGAGUAGUACUAGGAAGGGUGACCUCAUGGGAAGUAUUCGUGCUGCACCUC